rnacentral:misc_RNA from 1 species
GUAGGGGGAAGGAACAUUUACAUUACACAGAAACCAAAACUUCCCAAAUAGAUAUUCUCAAUUACAUAAUUUACAAGUAACAAUAGUAGUGAACGUGUUUCGACUGGGACAUGUGCAGAACUCCAAUCAUAUUUGCAAAGUGAAACUCAAGUUUGCAACAAACAAAGCAAUAAGCCAAUAGAACUUUAGUUUAAAUAUAGGAAAACAUUUGUACACAAAAUACACAUGCUUCAUUUUCAUUUAUUCUUAUUUGAUUGUUGGUUUGGCUACUGGAGUUGAUUCUUGGGCAGCUUGACCCAUUUCACUUUCACACAACAAAAAGAAAAAAAAUUCUAUACUGUUUAGCGUACAUAAUAAAUAACUACAGAAUGAAUAAAAU